rnacentral:tRNA from 1 species
GAAAUAUUUAAAUAUUAAACUUCUAAUUUAAUUAAAAGCGUUAAAUCGUUUAUAUUUCU